GAUGAAGAACGCAGCGAAAUGCGAUAAGUAAUGUGAAUUGCAGAAUUCAGUGAAUCAUCGAAUCUUUGAACGCACAUUGCGCCCGCCAGUAUUCUGGCGGGCAUGCCUGUUCGAGCGUCAUUACAACCCUCAGGCCCCCGGGCCUGGCGUUGGGGAUCGGCGGAGCCCCCCGUGGGCACACGCCGUCCCCCAAAUGCAGUGGCGGUCCCGCCGCAGCUUCCAUCGCGUAGUAGCUAACACCUCGCGACUGGAGAGCGGCGCGGCCACGCCGUAAAACACCCAACUCUUCUGAAGUUGACCUCGAAUCAGGUAGGAAUACCCGCUGAACUUAAGCAUAUCAAUAAGGAGGA
rnacentral:misc_RNA from 1 species